GGUAUUAUCCUGGGAGCAGCAGAUGCAAAUAGACAUCCUCAAAAAGCUCAUCGUUUUAUGGGGAAAAGGGAUAACAAAUAAUUGGAAUGCAAAGCAAUAACUUCCACAGUUCAUGAGUGCACAAGACCUGGAAUGAGUUCUGAGCAGACCUCCUCAAGAAUUGGAAUAUUAUCAAGAACAUGGAUACUCAAAAGUCAGUUCUGUGCCCUGUAAAGAAGAAUUUGAGGAGCUUAAAUAGCCUGCUGCUUUGAUCUCAUCUGUCCCUUAGGUUCUCUAAACAGAUUUUAUGACUUUCAAAUUUGGGUAUUUCAAUAGACGUUUCUAGUUUUUGUUACAUCAUCUUUGAAAAAUGCUUGCAAGAUGAAUAAAUUUACAUUCAGC
rnacentral:lncRNA from 1 species